rnacentral:lncRNA from 1 species
AAAAGCAUUUUCUACCAGAUAUCUUGCCUCUAAAGAAAUGGAACCAAUUUCCUGAGGGAAAUUCUGACUUCUAGAAUGCAUGCUGACAUCCAUAAUAAAAUAAAUAUUCCUUAUUCUAGAAUUUGGGGUGGCCAGAAGUUGGCUAUCAGCCCUUCCCUACUGAAAUUGAAACCUUUCCCUGUUGUGAUCUAUGAUGUUUCUAGGCAGAAUUUCUACUCAAAGAGAAACCCAGAGAAUAAGUGAUAAAUUUUUUUUCUUUUUGGUACCAGGGAUCAAACUUGGGACCUUGUUCUUUCAAGGCAGGCAGCAGAACCACUGAGCUAAAUCCCUAGCAAUGAUAAAAUUGUACACCAGGAGAGAAAGUCUUGGCUAUACAGAUGGUGUUCUUUGUUUUUUGUUUGUUUGUUUUUGUACUGAGGAUGGAACCCAGGGUGUACACUACACUCCCAGGGUGUACACAGGGUGUACAUUACACUCCCUACCCCUUUUUUAUUUUCAUAUUCUCAGGGUCUUGCUAAGUCACUAAGUUGCCCAGGCUGGCUUGAAUUUGAGAUCCUCCUGCCUCAGACUCCCAAAGUGCUGGAUUGCAGGUGAAUGCAGAAUUUUAAUGUGGAAAAAGAAAAAGUUGUAAAGCAGGAAGCUUUACUGAAGAGGAGGAGUCAUUACCUGAGUCAGCCAGACCUGUGCUCAUACCUGUUAAUGGAAAACAACAGGGAUCAGACCCUGAGAACAGCAGAUUAGCCUCAGAUCCCACUAACUUUGUCUUGAAAAAUUAAUUCAAUGCACUUAACCUUUUUGUUCUUGGUUUGCAGCCAGAGUUAAAAUAACUUGCGUUUUUUAGGACACUGAUCCGAAAUGACUUGGGAAAUGUGUAGGAAAAAUACUGAAAGGAAGUCUGCCAGUAUGAUUUUUUCUCCUGCCUUCUUAUACUUUUAUUAUUAAAAUUUGCUACCACAGGCUGGGGAUUUAGCUCAGUGGUUCCACCGCCUGCCUUGCAAGCACAAGGACCUGAGUUCGAUCCCUAGUACCCCUUCCCCCCCCCCCAAAAAUUGCUACCAUGAUACUGAAGGAAGAUCAGGCCU